GCCUCCGCGACUCCCGGGUCCCCUCGUCCUGGACGCCAGCCCGGGCGCAGCAGGUGAGCAGACGUCACCGGAGAGUCCUGGGCACGUCCUCCUCCCCGCCCAAGUCAAGUUCAGCAGCCAGGAAAUCAGAACUUAACUACAUAAAGCAAACAAACAAAACCAAAACAAAUCCAUUCUGACAGAACUUUCCCGAUAAAGGACAUUUCCUAAUAUUCCAAGCAGAGUGUUAUGAAAGCCUCUUCUGGACCAAAGGAGAACGGGCUGGAAGUCCCGCUGGACCUUAGUCACGGAGGGAUAUUUGCUAAGCACCUACUAUGUCUAAGUAAUGGGAGGCAAGGAAGAAUCAGAAAUGAAUCCUAUCAUCCUGGAGGAGAGGUAAGAUACACAUCAUGAAUAAAUCACAUGCAUCGUUUAAAGUGGUAGGGGUCAUAAGCCAGAAAAGGACAGGAGAAGAGUUCACAGAGAAAAGGUAAUUUAUCCGGGUUACUUCUUUCUUAGUGAAGGUCUGAAAUUAGGAAACAUGGUAACAGUUCAAUCAUGGCAACCUUUAAAUCUAUUCUGUAAUGUAGUGCCAUGUGGGCUUAAUGUUUAUUGUUAUUGUUAUUGGCGGUAAUGACACUGUAAUUCAUUGUCGUUGUAAUUAUGGACACAUCACAACACCCCUCUCUCUGAGGCAGGUAUUAUAAAACUCUGGAACUCGAUUUCAGGCCUUGUCAGGAGUCGGGUAUGGUUGAGAACUUCCAGAAAUCAGGGAUGUGCCUCUUAUAAGAAGAGGCAGAGCAGUGCAGGGGUGAAACAAACAGGCUCUAAACCAGAGGGCAAUUCAAAACCAGCCUUCAGAGGCUGACUCUCAGGCUUGCCUGCUGUGAGGCCAUGGGCAAAUCACUUGAACUCCCUGUGUGUGUUACCCCAUCUGUUCAUUUGAGGUGAUAACAGUACUGGCUUCAUAGGGUUAUGUGACAAUUAGAUGCAUGUAAUGCAUUCACAACAGUGCCCAACAGACAGUAUAUACUCAGUGAUGC
rnacentral:lncRNA from 1 species